AUAUCACUAAGCGGAGGAAAAGAAACUAACCAGGAUUCCCCUAGUAACGGCGAGUGAAGAGGGAAUAGCCCAGCACCGAAGCCUGCGGUAGGUUUACUGCUAGGCAAUGUGGUGUUUGGGUCGACUCGCGGGAUUGCCACUCCACUCGAAGUCCAGCACUGAGUAUGGUUCCCUGGAUUUGGCCCAGAGAGGGUGAAAGGCCCGUGCGAGUGGAGGUUCAGACAUGUGAGGCAAUUCACCAGGUCGACCUUCGAGUCGGGUUGUUUGGGAAUGCAGCCCAAAGUGGGUGGUAAACUCCAUCCAAGGCUAAAUACAAGCACGAGUCCGAUAGCGAACAAGUACCGUGAGGGAAAGUUGAAAAGUACUUUGAAGAGAGAGUAAACAGUACGUGAAACCGCAUAGAGGUAAACGGGUGGCGUCAAGCUGCAAGCCUAGAGGAUUCAGUUGAUCGGUGUGUAUGCGCGCCUGGCGUGUCUGUCGGACGGACAGUCCACUGCGAAAUGGUGGGCCUGCCUUUCUUCUUGGGGGGCAGGAUCGGUGUUCCGGGUGGUUGCCGGUGCCGGCUGUUCUGUCUGUCUGCGCAGUGUGGAUGGACCGGUCAAUGCACUUCCUCUAUUUGGUGAGCACCACGACUGGUGGAACUGCCAGUCUGCCAUAGUCAAGUCGGAUUUGGUCGGUGGCUCUCCUCGUCGUCUUGGUGUGGGGGGGUCAUCGGCUGAGUUUCGAUCACAGGCGAACUCAGUGAGCGGCGCGUGUAGGCAUUCGCUUGCACACGUGUUAUCGAGCACUGGUCGUCAACGGGUCUGCCUGUCGGUUGUUGUGUACAGUCGCCGGCGGGUGUCCUGGUGGGCUAUGGUGGUAUGAAUAACUGUGCAGGGCACCAGAGUUGUCGGUCUCUAGUUUCCGUCUCGUGCGCACACUGUAUGUGGGCGUGGGGUGUUGCUGUAGGCUSCCAAUUGCUGGGUCUGAUYGUCGUGUYGCCUGCGCAAAGUGGGCCCGGCGGUGGUSUGGUGUUGGGUGGUCYGCAUUUGUGUGUGAUGCCUCCUGUGCGAGCCGGCGUGGACCAAACAGUCUGUGGUGUUGUGGUAGACGAGCUACCCGACCCGUCUUGAAACACGGACCAAGGAGUUUAUCAUGCACGCGAGUCAAUGGGUCCACCGAAACCCAAAGGCGCAGUGAAAGUAAAGUCUCGACUUGUUCUCGGGAUGUGGUGAGAUGCCACUGUUUCUCGCACCUCCCCUGGCGCGCGCAGCUUGCUGUGUGUGUGUUUGUGGGUCUGCAGCACCAGGCAAAAGAGCAGUGGCCGCAUCACCGGCCCGUCCCAUGAUGUGGUCGUUGGAAAGGCGUGGAUCGUUUUGUGUGGUCUGCGUUGGAACCGGCGCGUCAUCGGGGCGGAGCAAGAGCGUGCACGAUAAGACCCGAAAGAUGGUGAACUAUGCUUGCGUAGGUUGAAGCCAGAGGAAACUCUGGUGGAGGACCGCAGCGAUUCUGACGUGCAAAUCGAUCGUCAAACGCGAGUAUAGGGGCGAAAGACUAAUCGAACCAUCUAGUAGCUGGUUCCCUC
rnacentral:rRNA from 1 species